GGAGUCUAACAUGUGCGCGAGUCAUUGGGACUACACUAAACCUAAAGGCGAAAUGAAAGUGAAGGCCUUGUUUUUUUUAUUAAAAACUCGGCUGAGGGAGGAGGGUGUCGGCACCAAGCUUAGCCGCUUGGUAUAAAAGCUCGGACCUGCACUCCCGGGGCGUCUCGUUCUCAUUGCGAGAUGAGGCGCACCUAGAGCGUACACGUUGGGACCCGAAAGAUGGUGAACUAUGCCUGGUCAGGACGAAGUCAGGGGAAACCCUGAUGGAGGUCCGUAGCGAUUCUGACGUGCAAAUCGAUCGUCGGAGCUGGGUAUAGGGGCGAAAGACUAAUCGAACCAUCUAGUAGCUGGUUCCCUCCGAAGUUUCCCUCAGGAUAGCUGGCACUCUAUGAACAAAGAUUAAGAGGUUAGUCUCAUAUGGUAAAGCGAAUGAUUAGAGGCCUUGGGGCCGAAACGACCUCAACCUAUUCUCAAACUUUAAAUGUGUGAGAUCUCCAGCUUGCUUGAUAAUAUUUCUUGCUUCGGCUAAGAUUUAAUUUUUUGUGAAGCUGGAGAUGGAUAAAAGAGUGGCCAAGUGGGCCAUUUUUG
rnacentral:rRNA from 1 species